CUCUCUCCUGUGCUCCUGCGAAAGCGUCCCUUCCAUUUGGCAACGCACCCAGAGGAGUCUGCAAAGCUGCUAUUAAGGAAGGGCUGUGGAAGGAACUGGUCAAGGAAUGAUGUGAGGCUUGAAGGACUGCCUGAGCUGGAGCUUGCAGCCAAACCUCUGUGCCCUGCAGCAGCAGUUAGUCCAUCUCCCCAACUCUGGCUGAGUCCUGUUGAAACCUGUUUGUGCUGGAGGCCUCCACAUUAUCUGGUGCCAGUGAGUUCCCCAGUUCAAUUACGUAUGUGAAACAGCACAAAAAUCUUGAAAAAAAUCAGCCAGACGAAAGAGUGCUUAACAACCUGCGUUAGCAGCUGAGAGGGGUUCACAGAUAUAAAGGUGUUGGUUAUAUCUCAAGAUGA